rnacentral:rRNA from 1 species
GACAAGCGGCGCUAUAAUGCAGUCGAGCGACAGGAUAAGGAGCUUGCUCCUUUGAAGUUAGCGGCGGACGGGUGAGUAACACGUGGGUAACCUACCUAUAAGACUGGAAUAACUUCGGGAAACCGGAGCUAAUGCCGGAUAACAUAUAGAACCGCAUGGUUCUAUAGUGAAAGAUGGUUUUGCUAUCACUUAUAGAUGGACCCGCGCCGUAUUAGCUAGUUGGUAAGGUAAUGGCUUACCAAGGCGACGAUACGUAGCCGACCUGAGAGGGUGAUCGGCCACACUGGAACUGAGACACGGUCCAGACUCCUACGGGAGGCAGCAGUAGGGAAUCUUCCGCAAUGGGCGAAAGCCUGACGGAGCAACGCCGCGUGAGUGAUGAAGGUUUUCGGAUCGUAAAACUCUGUUAUUAGGGAAGAACAAAUGCGUAAGUAACUGUGCGCAUCUUGACGGUACCUAAUCAGAAAGCCACGGCUAACUACGUGCCAGCAGCCGCGGUAAUACGUAGGUGGCAAGCGUUAUCCGGAAUUAUUGGGCGUAAAGCGCGCGUAGGCGGUUUCUUAAGUCUGAUGUGAAAGCCCACGGCUCAACCGUGGAGGGUCAUUGGAAACUGGGAAACUUGAGUGCAGAAGAGGAAAGUGGAAUUCCAUGUGUAGCGGUGAAAUGCGCAGAGAUAUGGAGGAACACCAGUGGCGAAGGCGACUUUCUGGUCUGUAACUGACGCUGAUGUGCGAAAGCGUGGGGAUCAAACAGGAUUAGAUACCCUGGUAGUCCACGCCGUAAACGAUGAGUGCUAAGUGUUAGGGGGUUUCCGCCCCUUAGUGCUGCAGCUAACGCAUUAAGCACUCCGCCUGGGGAGUACGACCGCAAGGUUGAAACUCAAAGGAAUUGACGGGGACCCGCACAAGCGGUGGAGCAUGUGGUUUAAUUCGAAGCAACGCGAAGAACCUUACCAAAUCUUGACAUCCUUUGAAAACUCUAGAGAUAGAGGCCUUCCCCUUCGGGGGACAAAGUGACAGGUGGUGCAUGGGUUUGUCGUCAGCUCGUGUCGUGAGAAUGUUGGGUUAAGGUCCCGCAACGAGCGCAACCCUUUAAGCUUUAGUUGCCAUCAUUAAGGUUGGGCACUCUAGAUGACUGCCGGUGAACAAACCGGAGGAGUGGGGAAUGGACGUUCCAAUCAAUCAUGCCCUUUAAAUGAAAUUUUGGGGCCUUAAACACCA